rnacentral:lncRNA from 1 species
CCCACCCCCUGACCUCGUCUCUCCCCCAACACUCAUAUGAUUUAAUUCCAGGAUGCUUGCAGGAGGAGGCAAGGCCAGGCUGCAGUUGGGAACAAGGAGGUUCACCCUCACACAACUGCCACUGAUUCAUUAAGUUCUGGAAGCCGGAAUUCUGAAAUCAAUAAGUUGCCAGGGCCGUGCUGUCUCUGAAGGUUCUGGAGAAGAAUUCUUCCUUGCCUCUUCCUGGCUUCUGGUGGCUGCUGGCAAUCGUUGGCAUUCCUCGGCUUGUAACUGCGUCACUGUAAUAUCUACCUUCGCCUUGACGUGGCUCUCUUCCCUCUGGGGUUGCAAACACAGUAGGGGGUGGAGCAAUUGAGGAAAUCAGAGAGAAGAGGGGCAAUACAUCAGAGUUGUUUUCCCACUUCAAAUGACGUGAUUCUGAGCUUUCCCACCGGCUCAAGGUCCUCCAAGUUGGAAUGCUUAGCAUCCAAACAACGUGCAGAUGCCUACUGUGAAACAACACGCCUCCUGACCACAAACACCACUGGGAAGAAAGAAAAGAGAGUUUUUCCACAUUGGCAAAUGACUUUGGUACAAAGAAUGUGUGAAAGCAAAGAGAUUCUUUCCCCUGGGCUUCAUCACUGCAAAUAUGUACUGUCAGGUAGAUUGGC